rnacentral:rRNA from 1 species
CAUAUUCGAAAGAAAUAUCGAUCGAUAUGAAUAAACGAGAUGAAAUUCAUUGGCGAUUAGUUCGAGUGAUCGUGUGUUCGUUGU